UUAACACAUGCAAGUCGAGGGGCAGCAUUUUAGUUUGCUUGCAAACUGAAGAUGGCGACCGGCGCACGGGUGAGUAACACGUAUCCAACCUGCCGAUAACUCCGGAAUAGCCUUUCGAAAGAAAGAUUAAUACCGGAUAGCAUACGAAUAUCGCAUGAUAUUUUUAUUAAAGAAUUUCGGUUAUCGAUGGGGAUGCGUUCCAUUAGUUUGUUGGCGGGGUAACGGCCCACCAAGACAACGAUGGAUAGGGGUUCUGAGAGGAAGGUCCCCCACAUUGGAACUGAGACACGGUCCAAACUCCUACGGGAGGCAGCAGUGAGGAAUAUUGGUCAAUGGGCGAGAGCCUGAACCAGCCAAGUAGCGUGAAGGAUGAAGGCUCUAUGGGUCGUAAACUUCUUUUAUAUGGGAAUAAAGUUUUCCACGUGUGGAAUUUUGUAUGUACCAUAUGAAUAAGGAUCGGCUAACUCCGUGCCAGCAGCCGCGGUAAUACGGAGGAUCCGAGCGUUAUCCGGAUUUAUUGGGUUUAAAGGGAGCGUAGGUGGAUUGUUAAGUCAGUUGUGAAAGUUUGCGGCUCAACCGUAAAAUUGCAGUUGAAACUGGCAGUCUUGAGUACAGUAGAGGUGGGCGGAAUUCGUGGUGUAGCGGUGAAAUGCUUAGAUAUCACGAAGAACUCCGAUUGCGAAGGCAGCUCACUAGACUGUCACUGACACCGAUGCUCGAAAGUGUGGGUAUCAAACAGGAUUAGAUACCCUGGUAGUCCACACAGUAAACGAUGAAUACUCGCUGUUUGCGAUAUACAGUAAGCGGCCAAGCGAAAGCAUUAAGUAUUCCACCUGGGGAGUACGCCGGCAACGGUGAAACUCAAAGGAAUUGACGGGGGCCCGCACAAGCGGAGGAACAUGUGGUUUAAUUCGAUGAUACGCGAGGAACCUUACCCGGGCUUAAAUUGCAACAGAAUAUAUUGGAAACAGUAUAGCCGUAAGGCUGUUGUGAAGGUGCUGCAUGGUUGUCGUCAGCUCGUGCCGUGAGGUGUCGGCUUAAGUGCCAUAACGAGCGCAACCCUUAUCUUUAGUUACUAACAGGUGAUGCUGAGGACUCUAGAGAGACUGCCGUCGUAAGAUGUGAGGAAGGUGGGGAUGACGUCAAAUCAGCACGGCCCUUACGUCCGGGGCUACACACGUGUUACAAUGGGGGGUACAGAAGGCGGCUACCUGGUGACAGGAUGCUAAUCCCAAAAACCUCUCUCAGUUCGGAUCGAAGUCUGCAACCCGACUUCGUGAAGCUGGAUUCGCUAGUAAUCGCGCAUCAGCCAUGGCGCGGUGAAUACGUUCCCGGGCCUUGUACACACCGCCCGUCAAGCCAUGAAAGCCGGGGGUACCUGAAGUACGUAACCGCAAGGAGCGUCCUAGGGUAAAACUGGUAAUUGGGGCUAAGA
rnacentral:rRNA from 1 species